UACAGAGGGGGCAAGCGUUAUUCGGAAUUAUUGGGCGUAAAGGGCGCGUAGGCGGCUUUGCAAGUGACGGGUGAAAUCCCUCGGCUUAACCGAGGAACUGCCUGUCAGACUGCAUGGCUUGAGACCGGGAGAGGUGAGUGGAAUUCCCAGUGUAGCGGUGAAAUGCGUAGAUAUCUGGAGGAACACCGGUGGCGAAGGCGGCAUCCUGGACCGACACUGACGCUGAGGAGCGAAAGCCAGGGGAGCAAACGGG
rnacentral:rRNA from 1 species